CACUUUUAAUAAUAUUUUAUAUACCGCCGUUUAGAAUAAAUAAAAAAAUUUUAUUCAAAAUAAAUUUCUAGAAAUUUAGGUAAAGGUGUAAACUAUAUAAGAGAUAAAAUGUAUUACAUUAAAAAAAAUUUAAGGAUUAAACUAAACAUAGUUUUAAGAAAAAGGAUUUAUAAGUAUAAUUUUAUUAAAAUUAUAAUUUG
rnacentral:rRNA from 1 species